rnacentral:rRNA from 1 species
UACGGGGGGGGCAAGCGUUGUUCGGAAUUACUGGGCGUAAAGGGCUCGUAGGUGGCCAACUAAGUCGGACGUGAAAUCCCUCAGCUUAACUGGGGAACUGCGUCCGAUACUGGAUGGCUCGAGUUUGGGAGAGGGAUGCGGAAUUCCAGGUGUAGCGGUGAAAUGCGUAGAUAUCUGGAGGAACACCGGUGGCGAAGGCGGCAUCCUGGACCAACACUGACACUGAG